rfam:Bombyx mori DNA, contig: Bm_scaf78_contig32457, strain: p50T/Dazao, build 2, whole genome shotgun sequence.
UUAACUCAAAUCUGUAUGGAGUUGGAACGUUUGCGUACGUUUGCCGCUAGGGGCGCUGUUCCAACUGCAUACAAAUUUGACCUA